CAUUUUUAAAUGUGUAAAUGGGUGGUUUGGAUUGUUGGAGAACAGUCUUUAUAUCUUACUAAUUUAAUUACAUCACUGACAGGGAGCUCUGCUUCCCAAGCUUUCCUGUUCCUGUAACUUUUGUUUUUGAAUGAGAAAGUAAGGACAUCGUUUUAUUACUGGAUGAUAUUUUAGCCCUGCACCCAACAGCAUUUUUUGAGGUUUCAAAGCAGAUCUCAAAUUAGGGAAUAUUAUAAGCAGGUUUGUUCUCUCCUAUUUAAUAUCUAACAACCAAAUCAUUGUUUUCAGCUACAGGUAUUUUAGGUACUGGAUGUCUCCGUGCCACCCGCAGAGCCUUCAGCUGUUGUGUCAAGAAUGAAUCGGACAGUGAUUUGCAAUUCCCAGUGACCGAAUCUCCUGAACGUCAUUCUACAAAGGUCUGGAAUCAUCCUAAAUACUUGAUGUCCCCUUGUGGAAACAAACAGGCAAGUUCUGUUCAUUAAAAUAUCUGUUUAAAGUGUAACUACAAUGCAGAAUACACACUGCAUUUAAACUCCGAUGACAGAACCCCGCAUACUGAAUCCAAGAUUGCUGGAUUGCAAAUUAGCUAUAGUAAAAGCAGCAGCUGUACAGUUUAGCUGUGUUAAGCUCUAGCGACAGCACAGUACAAUACAAACGCAGUUAACUAAACUGUUAUGUUUGCACCAUGUUUAAUAUAAAAGCUGCUGUAAGGUUAAAAGGGGGUUCUUACUGUUCUUAAAGUUUAAAUUAAAUGUAAAGGAAACAAUAGCUUGUGCAUCAUUUCAGAUUGUGCAGUUUACAAAAAAUAAGGUUAUGUAAGAACUAAACAUUGUACGGUAUGGAAGUGUGUGGUUUAAAGUCAGUAAAAUUCUUAAUCCUUAAUUAGUUUGUUUUUUGUUUUACAGGGAUGUGUGCGGAUCAAUAACUCUGCUGAACUAGACUGGUCAGAGAUUGGUCAGUGAUGUAACAACGCACAAUGGUUUUCCUUUCUCUGAAAAGGAAAAAUGUUUUCUUUUCUUUUUGUAUUAGUCUGUCAUUUUAAGUGUCCCUUAAUAGCCUUUCCUGUAUUUUUCUUUUUUUGUAUGCAAACAUUAAUCUAAGCUGUAGUUUAUCUUUUGCACAAUCUUUAUAAGCUAUCGUACAGCAAUGUGGCUACUGCGUGCAAUCUAAAAGCACCUUAGUUUUCUCUUAAAGCUGGACUAGAUUACAUUUUGAUAUAAUCAAAAAUCAACGGUUAUUUAAUUAAUUUAUUUUGCUACUCAUCGUCUUUUAAAAACAGCCUGCACCUCAGGGCGAUAAUCUGCAACAAAAUACUAUAAAUACUGAUUAUAUUUAGAUCUAAAACUUAAAAAUAAGAAUUUGUAGUUUAAUCACUGGGUUUAAAUGUAGCUAAGAUAACUACUGAUUUGAAAAUAUUUUCGCAUCAGUGUAGUGCAAUGAACCAAACACUUCAAUAAUCUACAGGCUGAAGCAAAAGGCUGUGAUGUUGGUAUAAACUAAUCUCCUACACAGCCAUUAAAAUUAUAGAAAAGUAUGAAACCUAGUUUAACCCCUUCAGACCUUUAUUCGUUCAUUAAAAUGCACAUUAUGUAUUCCUGCACUUAACCCUGAGACCUAUUGUAAACCAGAAUAAACAAUUAUCAGCCAAUCA
rnacentral:lncRNA from 1 species